ACCCUAUUAGGGUUGGCUACUGUAACAAAGCAGAAAAUAACAAGUGUGGGCAAAGAUGUGGAGAAAUUGGAAUCCUUGCACACUUUUGGU
rnacentral:pre_miRNA from 14 species